CAGCAGCCGCGGGAAUACGAAGGGGGCUAGCGUUGUUCGGAAUCACUGGGCGUAAAGCGCACGUAGGCGGAUACUUAAGUCAGGGGUGAAAUCCCGGGGCUCAACCUCGGAACUGCCUUUGAUACUGGGUAUCUUGAGUCCGGGAGAGGUUGGUGAAACUCCGAGUGUAGAGGUGAAAUUCGUAGAUAUUCGGAAGAACACCAGUGGCGAAGGCGGCCAACUGGCCCGGUACUGACGCUGAGGUGCGAAAGCGUGGGGAGCAAACAGGAUUAGAUACCCCUGUAGUCCCUGUCUCUUAUAC
rnacentral:rRNA from 1 species